rnacentral:rRNA from 1 species
UGAACGCUGGCGGCGUGCUUAACACAUGCAAGUCGAACGAGAAAGAGGUUGCUUGCAACCUUGAGUAGAGUGGCGCACGGGUGAGUAACACGUAGAUAAUCUACCUUCAAGCCUGGAAUAACUAUUCGAAAGGGUAGCUAAUACCGGAUAAAGUUGAUCAGCAUAAGUUGGUUUAUGAAAGAUUGCCUCUUCUUGAAAGCAAUUGUUUGGAGAUGAGUCUGCGGACCAUUAGUUUGUUGGUGGGGUAAAGGCCUACCAAGACUGCGAUGGUUAGCUGGUCUGAGAGGAUGAUCAGCCACACUGGAACUGACACACGGUCCAGACUCCUACGGGAGGCAGCAGUGAGGAAUUUUGCGCAAUGGGGGAAACCCUGACGCAGCAACGCCGCGUGAGUGAAGAAGGCCCUUGGGUCGUAAAGCUCUGUCGACAGGGAAGAAAUUAACAUCAUCCAAUAGGUGUUGUUAUUGACGGUACCUGUAGAGGAAGCACCGGCUAACUCC